UACGGAGGGUGCAAGCGUUAUCCGGAUUCACUGGGUUUAAAGGGUGCGUAGACGGCUAUAUAAGUCAGUGGUGAAAGCCCGCAGCUCAACUGCGGAAUUGCCAUUGAAACUGCAUAGCUUGAAUCUGGUUGAAGUGGGCGGAAUACAUCAUGUAGCGGUGAAAUGCUUAGAUAUGACAUAGAACACCAAUUGCGAAGGCAGCUCGCUACACGAAUAUUGACUCUGAGGCACGAAAGCGUGGGGAUCAAACAGG
rnacentral:rRNA from 1 species